GACAGAGGGGGCAAGCGUUGUCCGGAGUUACUGGGCGUAAAGCGCGCGUAGGCGGUACGGUAAGUAAGGUGUGAAAGCCCCAGGCUUAACCUGGGGAGGUCAUCUUCGACUGCCGCACUCGAGACCUGCAGAGGAUAGUGGAAUUGCCGGUGUAGUGGUGAAAUGCGCAGAUAUCAGGAAGAACACCCGUGGCUAAGGCGGCUCUCUAGUACGGUACUGACGCUGAGACGCGAAAGCGUGGGGAGCGAACAGG
rnacentral:rRNA from 1 species